rnacentral:rRNA from 1 species
GACGAACGCUGGCGGCGUGCCUAACACAUGCAAGUCGAACGGAAAGGCCCUGCUUUUGUGGGGUGCUCGAGUUGCGAACGGGUGAGUAACACGUGAGUAACCUGUCCCUGACUUUGGGAUAUCUUCAGGAAACUGGGUCUAAUCCCGGAUAGGAUCUCUUGCUGCAUGGUGGGGGUUGGUAAGUUUCGGCGGUUGGGGAUGUACUCGCGGCUGAUCAGCUUGUUGGUGGGGUAGUGGCUUACCAAGGCCUUGACGGGUAGCCGGCCUGAGAGGGUGACCGGCCACAUUGGGACUGAGAUACGGCCCAGACUCCUACGGGAGGCAGAAGUGGGGAAUAUUGCACAGUGGGCGGAAGCCUGAUGCAGCAACGCCGCGUGCGGGAUGACGGCCUUCGGGUUGUAAACCGCUUUCGCCUGUGACGAAGCGUGAGUGACGGUAAUGGGUAAAGAAGCACCGGCUAACUACGUG